rnacentral:rRNA from 1 species
AUUGAACGCUGGCGGCAGGCCUAACACAUGCAAGUCGAGCGGUAGAGAGGUGCUUGCAUCUCUUGAGAGCGGCGGACGGGUGAGUAAUGCCUAGGAAUCUGCCUAGUGGUGGGGGAUAACGUUCGGAAACGGACGCUAAUACCGCAUACGUCCUACGGGAGAAAGCGGGGGAUCUUCGGACCUCGCGCCAUUAGAUGAGCCUAGGUCGGAUUAGCUAGUUGGUGAGGUAAUGGCUCACCAAGGCGACGAUCCGUAACUGGUCUGAGAGGAUGAUCAGUCACACUGGAACUGAGACACGGUCCAGACUCCUACGGGAGGCAGCAGUGGGGAAUAUUGGACAAUGGGCGAAAGCCUGAUCCAGCCAUGCCGCGUGUGUGAAGAAGGUCUUCGGAUUGUAAAGCACUUUAAGUUGGGUAGGAAGGGUAGUAACCUAAUACGUUGCUACUUUGACGUUACCGACAGAAUAAGCACCGGCUAACUACGUGCCAGC